rnacentral:rRNA from 1 species
UCGAGGAUCUUUCGCAAUGGGCGCAAGCCUGACGAAGCGACGCUGUGUGGACGAUGAAGGCUUUCGGGUUGUAAAGUCCUUUCGCGCAAGAACAAGAGAGGUAGAUGAAUAAUCUGCUGAUUUGAGGGUACUGCGUAAAGAAGCACCGGCUAACUCCGUGCCAGCAGCUGCGGUAAUACGGAGGGUGCAAGCAUUAAUCGGAUUUACUGGGCGUAAAGGGCGCGUAGGCGGGCAUGCAAGUCAAAUGUGAAAUUCCGGAGCUCAACUUCGGAGCUGCAUUUGAAACUGCAAGUCUAUAGAGGGAUGGCGGAGAAAAUGGAAUUCCACGUGUAGCGGUGAAAUGCGUAGAUAUGUGGAAGAACACCAGUGGCGAAAGCGGUUUUCUAGCUAUUACCUGACGCUGAGGCGCGAGAGCAUGGGGAGCAAACAGGAUUAGAUACCCCUGUAGUCC